rnacentral:tRNA from 1 species
GCGNGCUUAGCUCAGCUGGGAGAGCGCCUGCUUUGCACGCAGGAGGUCAGCGGUUCGAUCCCGCUAGUCUCCACCA